rnacentral:ncRNA from 3 species
AGUGACGCGCAUGAAUGGA